rnacentral:rRNA from 1 species
CCUACGGGCGGCAGCAGUGAGGAAUAUUGGUCAAUGGGCGGGAGCCUGAACCAGCCAAGCCGCGUGAGGGAAGAAGGUACAGCGUAUCGUAAACCUCUUUUGUCAGGGAACAAAGGCGGGGACUAGUCCCCGGCUGAGGGUACCUGAAGAACAAGCAUCGGCUAACUCCGUGCCAGCAGCCGCGGUAAUACGGAGGAUGCGAGCGUUGUCCGGAUUUAUUGGGUUUAAGGGGUGCGCAGGCGGCCUGUUAAGUCAGCGGUAAAAGCCCGGGGCUCAACCCCGGCGAGCCGUUGAAACUGGUGGGCUGGAGUUGGAGAGAAGUAAGCGGAAUGCGCGGUGUAGCGGUGAAAUGCUUAGAUAUCGCGCAGAACCCCGAUUGCGAAGGCAGCGUACCGGCUCCAAACUGACGCUGAGGCACGAAAGCGUGGGUAGCGAACAGGAUUAGAUACCCGGGUAGUC